UACGAAGGGGGGCUAGCGUUGCUCGGAAUCACUGGGCGUAAAGCGCACGUAGGCGGCUUUCUAAGUCAGGGGUGAAAUCCUGGAGCUCAACUCCAGAACUGCCUUUGAUACUGGAGGGCUUGAGUCCGGAAGAGGUGAGUGGAACUCCGAGUGUAGAGGUGAAAUUCGUAGAUAUUCGGAAGAACACCAGUGGCGAAGGCGGCUCACUGGUCCGGUACUGACGCUGAGGUGCGAAAGCGUGGGGAGCAAACAGG
rnacentral:rRNA from 1 species